rnacentral:rRNA from 1 species
UGGGGAAUAUUGCACAAUGGGGGAAACCCUGAUGCAGCAACGCCGCGUGAAGGAUGAAGGUUUUCGGAUUGUAAACUUCUUUAGUCAGGGACGAAUAAAUGACGGUACCUGAAGAAUAAGCCACGGCUAACUACGUGCCAGCAGCCGCGGUAAUACGUAGGUGGCAAGCGUUGUCCGGAAUUACUGGGUGUAAAGGGCGUGUAGGCGGGAAUGUAAGUCAGAUGUGAAAUCCCAGAGCUUAACUCUGGAGCUGCAUCUGAAACUAUGUUUCUUGAGUGUCGGAGAGGAAAGCGGAAUUCCUAGUGUAGCGGUGAAAUGCGUAGAUAUUAGGAGGAACACCAGUGGCGAAGGCGGCUUUCUGGACGAUAACUGACGCUGAGGCACGAAAGCGUGGGGAGCAAACA